GAUGAACGCUAGCGACAGGCUUAACACAUGCAAGUCGAGGGGCAGCACGGUGUAGCAAUACACUGGUGGCGACCGGCGCACGGGUGAGUAACACGUGUGCAACCAACCCCGUACCGGGAGAUAACCCGCGGAAACGUGGACUAACAUCCCAUAACACUCUAGAGCCGCAUGGUUCUGGAUUUAAAACCCCGGUGGUACGGGACGGGCACGCGCGACAUUAGGUAGUAGGCGGGGUAACGGCCCACCUAGCCGACGAUGGAUAGGGGUUCUGAGAGGAAGGUCCCCCACAUUGGAACUGAGACACGGUCCAAACUCCUACGGGAGGCAGCAGUGAGGAAUAUUGGUCAAUGGGCGAGAGCCUGAACCAGCCAAGUAGCGUGAAGGAUGAAGGUCCUACGGAUUGUAAACUUCUUUAUACGGGAAUAAAGUAUCCUACGUGUAGGAUUUUGUUAUGUACGUAUGAAUAAGCAUCGGCUAACUCCGUGCCAGCAGCCGC
rnacentral:rRNA from 1 species